UCUGAAAUGGAUGAAUGGCCAAGUUGGCUGGGCUCAAUCGCUGGCUCUCUUCUGGUUCUGAAGACCAUCUUCUGCUGCUGGGCCUUCAGUCGCCACUGGUGACCCAAUCAAGCUAAUGAUCAUCUUUGGGAGGUGGGGAAAAAAGAGUGACCCAAUUAACUGGUGUUAGGUAAUACUGGCAUACUUUCUGUUCUGUAACAUUGGCUUUUCAUUCAUAGGGAUUAAUUACUAUGAGUUGGAUCCCUCUGCAUACAACCGAAAAUCGAGAAGAAGUACGUGACUUUUAAUGACUAACCACACAGACAAUCAAAUUUACACAUUGCCCAACAUGAAUGCAACAUUUACUCCGUCGAAUUAUUCAAGAAGUGGAGCCCUUCAUCUCGCUUCGAGUGGCUCAUGAAUAGUGUGGGUAUAGUUUGGCUAAUGGGCCAGACAAGUGGCAACCGGCAAUUGUCAAGUCAAGUCAGUCAAGUAGUCGGCAACACGAGAACGGCUGAAAAGAAAAUCAGAAAAUCAACAACGUUUGCCGGCAAAAAGCAAGAAAACCACUUUAAGACGACCCAGCGAACGAGCAGACGGCAUUAAAAGUGGAGAAUAAGUGUAAUAAUGACAUUUGUGUGGCCGUUAGCAGUUGGAUUCUUAACUGUUUGACAUUUUGCGUAACCUUUUUCGAAGACAUUUGGCCUUUAUCCCGAUUAACCGCGUUCUUUUUUUCCCUUUUUGUGUUCAGAGGAAGUGGAGAUAGGAACUUGGGCAACUCCAUACCAAGCUGAUGAUGAUGAGGAUGAACUACCGGUGUGUGUGUGGUGUGUCCGAAGAAAAUUCAGCAGGAAAAGCGGCUAAACGAAUUGACUAGAAAACUUGGAGGAAAUGGAGGAAAUGUUACUAAAAAAAAAAGUAACAGAAAUGGAAAAUGGAAUGUGUGUAC